ensembl:lncRNA
AAAAUGUACAAAGGCAAACAUUUCUGAUGGUACAGUGGUCAACAAUCCAGCAGCUACAUCGUCAUUAUCUUUGGAGUCUAGGCAAGGAGACAUUGAUCAUGAAACUCUUCAUCAAGAGGUAGAGGAUCUGUUAGCUGAUACUGAAGACAUUCAGUGCUCAAAUCCGACUUCCUCAAACGCAUGGUCAGUUCGCAUGGCCCAGACUAAAAAGAAGUGGGCAGCUUUGAGGCCAGAGAUGGUGGAGUGUUUAUUAACAGCUGAGUAUACGGAGAUCAGGCAGUGCCAGCACUGCCGACUGAAGCAGUCUGUUAUCCGCUGUAAAGACUGCAUUCCUAAACAGCUGUACUGUGUAGAAUGUGAUAUUUUGGCCCAUGAAAGGAAACUUCACAACCGAGAGACAGAUGUAGA